UACACGACCGUACCGCAAACCGACACUGGUGCGCGAGAUGAGUAUUCUAAGGCGCUUGAGAGAACUCAGGAGAAGGAACUCGGCAAAUUGACACCGUAACUUCGGAAGAAGGUGUGCCUUUAGUAGGUGAAGGGAUUUACUCCUAGAGCCCAAUGAGGUUGCAAAAAAUCGGUGGCUGCGACUGUUUAUUAAAAACACAGCACUCUGCAAACACGAAAGUGGACGUAUAGGGUGUGACGCCUGCCCGGUGCUGGAAGAUUAAAUGAUGGGGUGCAAGCUCUUGAUUGAAGUCCCAGUAAACGGCAGCCGUAACGAUAACGGUCCUAAGGUAGCGAAAUUCCUUGUCGGGUAAGUUCCGACCUGCACGAAUGGCGUAACGAUGGCCACACUGUCUCCUCCUGAGACUCAGCGAAGUUGAAAUGUUUGUGAUGAUGCAAUCUCCCCGCGGAAAGACGGAAAGACCCCAUGAACCUUUACUGUAGCUUUGUAUUGGACUUUGAACAGAUCUGUGUAGGAUAGGUGGGAGGCUUUGAAGUAGGGUCGCUAGAUCUUAUGGAGCCAACGUUGAGAUACCACCCUGGUGUGUUUGAGGUUCUAACCUAGGUCCAUUAUCUGGAUCGGGGACAGUGCAUGGUAGGCAGUUUGACUGGGGCGGUCUCCUCCCAAAGCGUAACGGAGGAGUUCGAAGGUACGCUAGUUACGGUCGGACAUCGUGACGAUAGUGCAAUGGCAUAAGCGUGCUUAACUGCGAGACUGACAAGUCGAGCAGAUGCGAAAGCAGGACAUAGUGAUCCGGUGGUUCUGUAUGGAAGGGCCAUCGCUCAACGGAUAAAAGGUACUCUGGGGAUAACAGGCUGAUACCGCCCAAGAGUUCAUAUCGACGGCGGUGUUUGGCACCUCGAUGUCGGCUCAUCUCAUCCUGGGGCUGUAGCCGGUCCCAAGGGUAUGGCUGUUCGCCAUUUAAAGAGGUACGUGAGCUGGGUUUAAAACGUCGUGAGACAGUUUGGUCCCUAUCUUCCGUGGGCGCUGCAGAUUUGAGGAAGCCUGCUCCUAGUACGAGAGGACCGGAGUGGACACACCUCUGGUGUAUCGGUUGUCACGCCAGUGGCAUUGCCGAGUAGCUAAGUGUGGAAGAGAUAACCGCUGAAAGCAUCUAAGCGGGAAACUCGUAUCAAGAUGAGAUCUGCCGGGGCCUUGAGCCCCCUGAAGAGUCGUUCAAGACCAGGACGUUGAUAGGUCAGGUGUGGAAGCGCAGUAAUGCGUUAAGCUAACUGAUACUAAUUGCUCGUGCGGCUUGACC
rnacentral:rRNA from 1 species